GGUCCGUCUGCAGUCGGCAGCCUCGCCGGCAGCUUGCUCGGCCCCCGCUUGGCCCGGCCCGCAGGUAGGAGCCGCCGAGGGACGCGGCGCCCGGUUCCCGGCCCCGCCUGCGCCGCGCUCCCCGCUCCCGCCGCCCGCUUCGAGGAGCUGUUCUAUGAAGACCGCCAUUUCCACGAGGGCUGCUUCCGCUGCUGCCGCUGCCAGCGCUCACUAGCCGAUGAACCCUUCACCUGCCAGGACAGUGAGCUGCUCUGCAAUGACUGCUACUGCAGUGCAUUUUCCUCGCAGUGUUCUGCCUGUGGGGAAACUGUCAUGCCUGGGUCCCGGAAGCUGGAGUACGGAGGCCAGACAUGGCAUGAGCACUGCUUCCUGUGCAGUGGCUGUGAGCAGCCACUGGGCUCCCGUUCUUUUGUGCCCGACAAGGGUGCUCACUACUGCGUGCCCUGCUAUGAGAACAAGUUUGCUCCUCGCUGCGCCCGCUGCAGCAAGACGCUGACACAGGGUGGAGUGACAUACCGUGAUCAGCCGUGGCAUCGAGAAUGUCUGGUCUGUACCGGGUGCCAGACGCCCCUGGCAGGGCAGCAGUUCACCUCCCGGGAUGAAGAUCCAUACUGUGUGGCCUGUUUUGGAGAACUCUUUGCACCUAAGUGCAGCAGCUGCAAGCGCCCCAUCGUAGGACUCGGUGGAGGCAAGUAUGUGUCCUUUGAAGACCGACACUGGCACCACAACUGCUUCUCCUGCGCCCGCUGCUCUACCUCCCUGGUGGGCCAAGGCUUCGUACCGGAUGGAGACCAAGUGCUCUGCCAGGGCUGUAGCCAGGCAGGGCCCUGAGUCAGGGCUCCUGGACCCAGGCUUUCCCAUAUCACGGGCCCAGGACUGUGGCUCCUUUUCUAAACCAUCUCUGGGACUCAGCACCCCCCGCCAAAACAAAUGGGUCUCCUUCUGGGCUCCAGGAUUGUCUCCCCACUCCAGCAUCCCCAAACUGGUACCCCCUGACCCAGGCCCCCAAACCUGGGCUCUUAUAGAGCCUCCAUGAGUCAAGCCCCCUCCCCACACCUGGACUCCAGAACUCACCCUCUCCCCUGCAGUCUGGGUUCCCAGACUGAGUCCUCUCCCCAAAUCAGGGCUCUGUCAGACCCCAACCCUCCAAACCUGGACUCUGGGACUUAGGCCCCCUUAAAUCUAGACUUCUCUUUAUAGGUUUUAGGUCUCCUAUGGGUGCCUGAGAAGUCCUCAAAAGUGGACUGUUCUCAGGCUUGACCCGCCCCACCCCAUCCCCAGGGUUGAGGCUGUAGGGGCAGCAGAUCAGGAGCCCACUGAUUAGGGGACCCUAGGGUACAGGGUGCUGCCCAGCUGGUCGCCACCGAGUGUCUUCUCAUGUUAUUUCAGCUCCAUUUUGCCCAUAGAUGGGCAGAGGGGUGAGAUUGGCUCACCCCCCUUCCAGAUUCUGCAAUAAAGCGGUGUGAGGAA
rnacentral:sRNA from 1 species